rnacentral:lncRNA from 1 species
UACAUUACAUAGUGAAUAUGUAGUUUAUAUAUUGACUUUGCCACACUCCAGACAUUCUGGUUACAUUUGAACUUUCUUUAGGGCACCUGAUCUUACACCAGUUUCCUUUGGAUUGACUUCCAGGAUCAUCUCCUGAAGUCCCAAGAGCUAGAGCUGUCCAGGAAUUAAGUUGGUGCCUGUGAUAUCAUAAAGACAUAUUCUUUGGACCAUAAUAG